ACCGGUAGCUGUGACAUCUCCAAAACAUAGACAAGAUGAUGAGGUCGAUGAUAUGUUCGAAGAUCUAUUGCCUCUUGCAGCCAGCUUUGACGCUUUUCCAUCUACACAGAAUCAAGGUUUGACACAAUUGACGUCUGUUCAUGUAAGGAGCAAAAAAAGGAAAACCUUGUCAUUGAAAGAAUGCAGCUGCAGGGGAAGAGACCAGCGCAUAAACGUUCGGCAAGAAUUGACAUGUAAUGACUUUGUUGAGGACACAUGCACAGAAAAUUACUCUCACUGAGAAGAGCCAAGCCAAAGCAUUUUGCAGAGGAGAGUAAUAUUAGAGACACAUGAUAAUGACACUUACAAGUAUUAGAUAAUAUUUUAGUUAUAACUGAUUAAUAAUUAAUUAUAACUAAUUAUUAAUUAAUUAAUAGCUGUUUUAUUUGUAAUAGCUGCACUACGUAUAG